rnacentral:lncRNA from 10 species
AUCUCUUUCCCAUGAUCAGAUAUCAGAGGAACACUGAAUUCUACAAUUUCUUUGGACCAUCAGCAUUAGCAUCUGUUGGAAGUGAAAACAAUUAGAAUCUGCAUUUAAAUAAAAUAAUAAUUGUAUUGAGAUAUUCACUUACUAUAGAGUUCACCCACUUAAAGGGUAGAAUUCAGUGGUUGUUAGUAUAUUCAAUAGUGUAUUCACAGAUAUGUGGAGCAAUCACCAUAGUCCAACUUAAAAAGAAAUGUCAGGCUGUUUAGCUAUAACCAAAUUCUCUCAUUUUUGUCUUGUUUGAAUACAUAAAUGUAUACUAUAUUAUUAAAAAUUAGUUUUCAAUUUGUAGAGAAUUCUAGAAAGGCAGUAUUUUUUUUUAUUGUGAGAUAACUUAAUUAACUUGUAGCUUCCAUUGUUUAGGUUGACAAAUCUACUGUCUGUCUAAAUGUUUCUUCUUUAAAGAUAAUCUUCAACUCCUUUUAAGAUUUUCUCCUUGUAUAUUUUUAAUAGUUUGACUAUGAUGUGUCUGUAAAUGAAUUUAAUUUUGAUACUUAGAGGCAGUACAAACAGGGCUUCUUGAAUUUCAUUUCUCCUUGUAUUUUUAAUUGGUGUUCUUUGUGUACUUUGAGGUAAUGUUGUUUAGUUAUGUGUAUGAGUUAUAUCUGCAUAGUGAAGUGUGCCUUUUGAAAUAUGACUCCCUUUUUUAAAGUAACAUUUUGUGUCUUGCAUUUUGAUCCAGUAUAAAUAUUUGCACCCAUCUUUCUUUGAGUGUUUAUGAGUAAGGCUUUAACUAUCAAUGUUACUUUUAACUUUCCUGAGUCAUUUUGAUUAAGAUGUGUUUUCUUUAAAGAAAAAUAAUAUUAAUAUGUGCUUCUAAUAGUUGUUUCAAAGAUUAAAUAUAAUAAUACAAUUAAAACAAAUAGUGUAGUAUUUGACAUAUAGAAAAUGCUCAAUGAAUACCAACUAAUAAUUGCGUGAAAAGCAUGCAUUCAAUUUUUUUUUUUUUUUUGAGAUGGAGUCUUGUUCUGUGACCCAAGCUGGAGUACAGUGGAGCAAUCUCAGCUCACUGCAACCUCCACCUCCCGGGUUCAAGUGAUUCUCCUGCCUCAGCCUCCCGAGUAGCUGGGAUUACAGGUGCCCACCACCAUGCCUGUCUAAUUUUUUGUAUUUUUAGUAGAGAUGGGGUUUCACCAUGUUGGCCAGGCUAGACUCGAACUCCUGACCUCAGGUGAUCUGCCCACCUCGGCCUCCCAAAGUGCUGGGAUUACAGGCAUGGCAUUGAAUUUUUAAAGCAAAAUUGAAAUUUAAGAAUUAUAAUUCAAGACUAUAGUCUUUAUUGUUACAUAUUUUAUUUUAGGCAUUCUUCUUGACAUCUGCUCUCAUCCUUUCUAGUUUUCAUUUGCUUUUCCUGGUUCUUUCUUGUUAAGUCUACUUUACUUCCUCAGGCCCUGUGCUAAAUGUGAUGGAUGCUGCAGUGAGCAAACCUCAGGGCUUACAUUGUAGAAGGAAAGGCAGACUCAAGUCAAAUCAUCACUCAAACAAUCAUGUGAAAUUACAACCAUGAUACAUGCUUUGGGAUACAUGAGAGUAGACUUGCAACUGUCACCUUAGAUUCAUAUAACAUUUACAAAGCACUUUUCAUACAUUAUGUCCUGUGAGAUAAAUUACAGCCAUAGAAGAUGUAUCCCUUGACCCUACAUGAUUAAAGGGUAGAUGGUUAAUUCUUUCAAAACACACAUUUCUUGUACCAAAUGUCAUGUACCACUCACUCUCAGAAUCUGUCAUUCUGAGAAUACAGAGAAAUUUUGCCCACUAAUGGGAUUCAACAUUUUCAUGGGAGAAAGGCAAUAGAACAUUCCAUUUCUUAGGUAAAACAACCAAGAAUGCGGGCUGCAACUCUACCACUUUGGGGGUGGGGGGUGGAACUACCGAGCGAUUAGAUGUUCAAUAAAUAUGUAUUACCUGUCUUCUAUUGACUAAGAACUGUGCUAAGCUGUGUAGAUACAAUGAAAAUAAGACAUAGUUCCUGUCUCAUGGACCAAGCUACCUAUAUGAGAAGUUCCAUAGUGAGGACCAUGGAACACAGAAGACUCAGAAAUUGGACAGUAGUUGGGGACAAUUGUAGCCCUCUCCAUAUAUUGAAAUACAGAAAAGCUAUAUCUUUUCCGCAGUCAGAACUGUGUAAAGAUGGAAUGAGUUUUCUGAUGAGAAAAUAUGUUUUUCUCCCACCGGUGUGUGGACUUUCAACUUCUUUAUCUCCUAUUAUGUCAAUGCUAGAUGUCCCAUAUGCGUGACUUUUUAAAGUGUUUAUUAUAGGAAUUUUCAAAUAUUCAGAGGGGUGCUAAAAAUAAUAUCAUAAUUAUCCAUGUACCCAAUCUCCAACAUCAUUAAGCGAUAACAUUUAUCCAAAUCUGCUUUAGAUCUCUAAUUAAGAAGCAAAAUUUUAAAGAUGAAGUUGAAACCUCAUUUGUCACCCUACUGAUCCCAUUCUUCUUCCUGCCUCAGAGUUUGUGUGGCCCUAAAGUUGAUGUCACUCUUUUUCAUCCAUGUUCUUGUAUAUUUACUGCAUCAAUACAUCUGAAUUUUUUUUUUCCAGAAACUUUAACCCCAAACCACCUUCUUGCUCAAAACCCUUCAGUGGCUCCCAACUGUCUACACCAAUGAUCCGCAAAUCAAGUUAUCUUCUGAAUCUUCUCGGGAGUUUCAAAAUUAUAUAGAUUCUUGGGUUGUCCUUGGGGACUUUGCAAAUUUUCAGGGUUUCUCAACUUU